UUUUAUGGAGAGUUUGAUCCUGGCUCAGGAUGAACGCUGGCGGCGUGCCUAAUACAUGCAAGUCGAGCGAACGGACGAGAAGCUUGCUUCUCUGAUGUUAGCGGCGGACGGGUGAGUAACACGUGGAUAACCUACCUAUAAGACUGGGAUAACUUCGGGAAACCGGAGCUAAUACCGGAUAAUAUUUUGAACCGCAUGGUUCAAAAGUGAAAGACGGUCUUGCUGUCACUUAUAGAUGGAUCCGCGCUGCAUUAGCUAGUUGGUAAGGUAACGGCUUACCAAGGCAACGAUGCAUAGCCGACCUGAGAGGGUGAUCG
rnacentral:rRNA from 1 species